rnacentral:rRNA from 1 species
UUGGGGAAUUUCCCGCAAUGGGCGAAAGCCUGACGGAGCAACGCCGCGUGAGGGACGAAGGCCUCUGGGCUGUAAACCUCUUUUCUCAAGGAAGAAGAUAUGACGGUACUUGAGGAAUAAGCCACGGCUAAUUCCGUGCCAGCAGCCGCGGUAAUACGGGAGUGGCAAGCGUUAUCCGGAAUUAUUGGGCGUAAAGCGUCCGCAGGCGGCUUUUCAAGUCUGCUGUUAAAGCGUGGAGCUUAACUCCAUCAUGGCAGUGGAAACCGAAAGGCUUGAGUAUGGUAGGGGCAGAGGGAAUUCCCGGUGUAGCGGUGAAAUGCGUAGAUAUCGGGAAGAACACCAGUGGCGAAGGCGCUCUGCUGGGCCAUUACUGACGCUCAUGGACGAAAGCCAGGGGAGCGAAAGGGAUUAGAUACCCCGGCUGCUCC